AUUUUCUGAAAGGAAUGAAGUGGCUUACAGUCAGCAACCCCCUCCACAGAUAUAACCAUUUCCUGUAUAAAAAGGAGGACAGAGCAGAGAGGAGAGGCAGGCUGGAUGAUGUGACUCCUCAUUUUAGAAGCUGCACAUCUGGAUGCUUACAUGACUGAAUCAUUCCACUAUUUCUCUGUUAGGUGGCAGAAGUUUAUUUCUGUCAGGGAUUUGUGUCAUGAAACAAAUACUGUGGCUUGCUUAUCAUGUCCGGGGAGAGCUUUCCAGGCAGGCUACUGUGAGAAGCCCCUGCCAUGAUCCUGAAAUAUCUUACCAAGGACAGAGCGAUGGAGGAGGUUUGCCUUCCUUACAGUCCAAGGCAGUUGGUGUUAGGGAUCACAGAACAGCAACCAGAUGGAUGGAGGCAGUGUGCCUUCCUGUGUUUGCCAGGAAACUUUGCUCUGUCUUGGGCAAUCCAGGUGUUUGACAACUCCAGAAACACUGAAUUUCUUUGUAUCGAACUCUAUCACAAAAGAUGUUUUGCAGGUUCCUGCCUCAGACCUUCUCUUUGCUGAUAAUAAAGAUAAGAGAUUAUGAAAAUACUAAGGGACUUGUACUAACAGAUUUUUGCAAUACAUCAGCAUGGAAGCACCAAAUAACUGUGUUAGUGGAAUUCAGAUGCAAGUUCUGCAGGAAGAAAAAAAGAAUCUGCUGAGUAACAGUCUGUCAGAUAUGUUAACUGAGAGUGACAACACGAUGUGAUCUGCAAAAAGAGACAAUAAAGACAUUCUACUUACAAAGCA
rnacentral:lncRNA from 1 species